UAUGUAUGUUGUUGCUACAAAUAUGUUUGUUGUUUUGAAGAUAUUGUUGGUUGUCUUUGAACUCUUAGCUAUUUGUUUCUGCUUUUAAAACCGCACAAAAGGGGAAAUGAGGGAAUAUUCUGGAAUAUUCUGGAAAGUUUAUGUUUCUUAUUGCUACAACUGUUUUUACCUGUUAAUAAAUUGCCUAUAAAUAAAGUUUUAAACAAUUAUACUAUUAAUAUAUUAGUCCAUUACGUUGGCCCUUCACCAAAACAACCUUGUGGUCAACAUUGAACGCAAGUGACUAGUCUAGCAUUCCAGCUGCUCUAACAGUAGGCCGUGCCGCAAGCAACAGCAAGAUGAAGGGUUUGAUUCCCUGGGAAUGCAUGAGCCACUGAAGAAUGAUUACCUUAAAUGCACUGCAAAUCACUUUGGAUAAAAGUGCCUGCCAAAUGCAUAAAAUACUAGACACAUCACAAUCUAAAUUACUGGUUUUAUAAUCAACAACGCUUUCCAAAGUGCUUAUGUUUGAAAGUUUGCAGAAUAUACUUUUCAGAUAUUUUACAGUAAAUGGGGCCAUGCUGUAUAAAAGGUACAGCAAAAUCUGUACCGGUUAACAUAGUCCUAGCAUCACGUUGUAGAGUAUAUAUAAUCAUACCCUCCAUCCCUAGCCUCUCGCGAUCACUCCCCUGCUGUGAUCUGCAGUCUACUGGCCUCAAAAUAUACAGCCAUCUUUUCUCUGGCUCUUCCUUAUCUAGUGUCUUUUUUUUCUGUUUCGCACUGAAAGUACCAGAGGACCCUUUUUUCACUCAAGCUCCUAUGGGAUUUUAAGAUACACACACAGACAAGUGACUGAAGGUCACGCUUUUUCGGGGGGUGAGGGGUGGGCGCUUUCAAUCAGGUUAAUGUCCUUCUCUAGAGUGUGAUCUCUCUCUCUCUCUAUCUGAGAUUGAAACACAGCCACAUGAAAGGGGACGAAGAGAUGAAGCCAGAGAGUCUGAAAUACUCUCUGAUGGAAAAGACAGUCAGCUGUCACACAGAUGCAUAUAAUACAUAAAAGAAUCCAUACUGUAAUGAGAAUACAGUGCAAAAAGAUGAGACGUCUUAGAGACAGAGUAACGAAUAAAACAGGAGGGGACUUUUAAACAGAUUAGGUUUCUGAAGAGUUCACCCUUUCCCCCUGUGAUUGAUUAAAAGAUAUAGUUACACAUGCUAUAAUAAAGCAGUCACGUUGAAUCACUAAGAAAGAAAAGGACGCUGUCUAUUUGAGGACGUUAAAAGUUGUGCACAGACGCACAUAAAAUUAAGUUCUACGAAUAUUUCAUAUCAGAUUACUUUAAUCGAAUGAUCUGCAAACUCAAUUUGGGACAUAAUUAGAAGCACAACCCAUCUGGGAGAGCUAUUGUGUGUGUGUUUCUGCAGAAGCAUGGCUGUUAAAACGUUUAACCCCUAAAGGAGAGUCCCUCAGCUUAGAGUUGAACCUUCUGCACCAGUCAAAAAUUUUACAUUUUCCCAAUGGCUUUACGAUCUGUUUGGAAAAAUCUAGGACACAUCAGGAACAAAUGCACACAGGCAAAAGAAAUGUCAAACGAAUGGUGGUUAACUGUAUGGAAAAUACAUAUAUACACGUACGCGCAAACACUGGUGUAAAAAAAAUUCUGCUGGCACAAUUUGCUACUGUGCUCGGUGUUGAUUUUCCAAAAUAAACAGGCCAUCAAAAAACUUUAUUUCCAUUGCUUCCUCACCUUAUUCUGUGCUGAAAGAGCUUCAACACAGACGCUCAAGAUAUAAACACUCCGAACGGAUCCUGUAGUGGGAUUCAGUGUUUUUCUGGAGGAGAAUUUGGGAUUUGAAAAACACCUGUGCACUAAAACUUGAACAAAUUCGUUUUAAGCUUCUCAGAACGCACACAAUCAUUUAGACUAGCAAUCUAAAAAUGCUAUCUUAACAUUAGCUUGAUACAAAGUUAAAGUAUUAAAAACUAACCUUAACUUACUGAAUCUAAUAUAUCUAUUGCAUUAAAAGUUGGAUUUCUGUGUCUUAAGCUUCUCAAAAACCAAAACAUUUACAUACUGAAGCUAAAUGCUAGCUUGAUACAAAGUUAAUUAUAACUACUAAAACGAACCUUAACUUACUGAACCUAAUCAAACUAUUGCACCAAAGCUUCUCAAAACACACAAACAUCUAAAUGCUAGCUGGAUACAAAGUUUCCUGUAACUGCUAAAAAUUUAUUAUAUAUUUAUGUACCAGUUUUUCCCUUGAUAAAAAUACUUUUUUGAUUAAAUUCAGCUAACUUCUCAAAACAAUUUUCAUCUAAUUUGCCUCCAAACUUUCUGUGUCACUCAGAAAACCCCCUCAACACCCUCAUGAAUUAGACAUGUGUAGCCCAGGACGCUGUUUAAAACCUCUCGUUUAAUAGCAAAUCGACCAUGGGCCACUGUAAAUGAGUUUCUGAAACAGUCCUGUUGUAAAAGCCUCGGCCAUGAAUAAAUUCAAACCAAUCUGACCACCUUCUCACCUAUGGCGAAAUGCACAGAGAGCAGUCAGAGCUAAAUUAAAACAUCCCUUUAUUAAACUCUGAACUCAAGCGUGACAGCGGCAUAAUACAGAUGAUUCAUUAGCUGACAUUGCUAACGCUAAUCACAGCCGUGCAGAGCGGAGGGGAGACACUGCUGAGUCAUAAGCUCUCCAAUGCUUAUCUUAGGCUGCUUUUGCGGUUUUGGCUUGGGUUUGGUGAAGACACUGGUGCUAGCAGUGCUAAUUGCGAAAGAUCUUACUGCAUUCAUUUUGUAUUGGACGUCAUUCGUGCAACUGUGGUUUUGGCUUCUCUGGAACACUGAUCUAACGGUAACCAAGGAAACACUGCAUCACUGCUGCUCCAUAAGCACCCCCUGCUGUCAGAGAGUGAAAUUGUGUCUCAUUCAGCCCAUCUGAUGUUUUUGUCAUGUUCAAAUGUUUUAUGUAGCAUCAUUUCACAAAAUUAAAGUCAGACCAUUCUUUUUUUGCUUGAAAUUUCAAAAUGAUACAGUAUAAUUUUGUUUAAAAACUGCUCAUGCAGCAUGCAAGCAGAAUCUUUCUUUGGAUCAUGAUUAAAAUCGAAAAGUUUUAGUCAGUGUGUAUGCAGAGAGGUCUUUUAUUUGUGUUGUUUAUUUAUUUGAUCUGGGGUUUGUUUUAAAAUUUCAUAUUUCAAUUUCACAAAGAAAUGUUCAGCAUUUUGUCUAAGCGAUAAUAAAACGACUUCAUUUAUAAUUUGUCUCAAA